UACGGAGGGUGCUAGCGUUGUUCGGAAUCACUGGGCGUAAAGCGCGUGUAGGCGGCCCACUAAGUCUGAUGUGAAAGCCCGGGGCUCACCCCCGGAAGUGCAUUGGAAACUGGUGGACUCGAGUCCCGGAGAGGAGGGUGGAAUUCCUGGUGUAGCGGUGAAAUGCGUAGAUAUUAGGAAGAACACCGGUGGCGAAGGCGGCCCACUGGUCCGGUACUGACGCUGAGGUGCGAAAGCGUGGGGAGCAAACAGG
rnacentral:rRNA from 1 species